GACGAAGAGGAGGCGUGCGGAUCGGUUUUUUUAGGGAAUUGAGCCGGGAAUCGCCCGACGAACGGACGGACCAACGUUUCAGGGGAGGAAUUCAAAACGACUAUUGGAGCUUCAUCCCAUGCUUAAAUUUGUCGAUUCCCUGAACACAAUGUCAGCUCAAAUGUUUGUCCACUAGCCUGCUGCAAAUCAAGAAUGGGUUGUUUGGAGGUUUCUUCAACAAGUCUAGAAUAGGAGCACUUGCUUUCUCAUCGUGACAACAGUUGGCAUGUUGAGUGAUGUUUUUCUGCAUAGCAAACUCUAGCCAUUCACUGAUUUGUUAUGGAUGUACAUCACGAACGUGUUAUUUGAAUGAAGAGUGAGAUUGAUCGAAACAAUUUGUGUUCUGUGCAAUGUCUACUGGUUAUUAUUUC